rnacentral:rRNA from 1 species
GAUGAACGCUGGCGGCGUGCCUAAUACAUGCAAGUCGAGCGAACGGACGAGAAGCUUGCUUCUCUGAUGUUAGCGGCGGACGGGUGAGUAACACGUGGAUAACCUACCUAUAAGACUGUGAUAACUUCGGGAAACCGGAGCUAAUACCGGAUAAUAUUUUGAACCGCAUGGUUCAAAAGUUAAAGACGGUCUUUCUGUCACUUAUAGAUGGAUCCGCGCUGCAUUAGCUAGUUGGUAAGGUAACGGCUUACCAAGGCAACGAUGCUUAGCCGACCUGAGAGGGUGAUCGGCCACACUGGAACUGAGACACGGUACAGACUCCGACGGGAGGCAGCAGUAGGGAAUCUUACGCAAUGGGCGAAAGCCUGACGGAGCAAAGCCGCGUGAGUGAUGAAGGUCUUCGGAUCGUAAAACUCUGUUAUUAGGGAAGAACAUAUGUGUAAGUAACUGUGCACAUCUUGACGGUACCUAAUCAGAAAGCCACGGCUAACUACGUG